rnacentral:rRNA from 1 species
GUUAUUAAAGGUGCAGGGCGGAUGCCUUGGCACUA